UACGUAGGGUGCAAGCGUUGUCCGGAAUUAUUGGGCGUAAAGAGCUCGUAGGCGGUUUGUUGCGUCGGCUGUGAAAUCCCGAGGCUCAACCUCGGGUCUGCAGUCGAUACGAGCAAACUAGAGUGUUGCAGGGGAGACUGGAAUUCCUGGUGUAGCGGUGAAAUGCGCAGAUAUCAGGAAGAACACCCGUGGCGAAGGCGGCAUCCUGGACCGAUACUGACGCUGAGGAGCGAAAGCCAGGGGAGCAAACGGG
rnacentral:rRNA from 1 species